ensembl:lncRNA
GAGCAGGAGGCUGAGCUGGCGGGCUCCUUGGCAGUUCCCACGCCAUUCAGACCAAACUAAGUGGCACCUGACUGUGAGAUAAGUGGAUGGUGGGUAAGCAAAUAUCUCCGCUGGAGACGUUAAUUCUUGGCUAAUGCCAGAGAGCCUUGUCAUUCAUGUAAUGCUUUGUCUCUCCCGUAAAAUUAGAAGCUUCCUGAGUCAAACGCGACUCCUUACUUCCGGCCCUUGCCUCCUCGCAGCACCUGAUGUGUGGCCCUGCACAGAGCAGGGCUUCAGUGGGUCAUUGAUGACUCGCCUAACCUUUCAUGACCAGAGCAGUGUCACCGAUGACAAUACUACAAUUCCCGAGAUGUAUUAACCACAGAUGUAAGGAGAAACAACAGGAAACAAGCUGAAGAAAUGGGCAGGAAUCACACCAUUGACUCCGUUCAUGGGGGCUCCUGAGCUCCAGGCACCGGGCCUGACACUGGACAUAGGUGGUCUCUAGACUGGAGGCCCUAGAGGGGAGUAACGUUAACUUCAUUUUACUACUGGGAUGUUCAAGUUCAAGGUGGUUGAAUUACCCGCCCAAGGUCACAGAGGUGGUACUUGGCAGAUGUAGGGUCUGAGCCUUUUCUCCAGACUGACCCUCAGGAGACACAAUUUAGGCAGUGCUGUCCACAGCUGGAGAUCGUGUGACGAGGGGCUGCCCUGUUAUUGAUGAUCACUGUUUGGCUUCUGGCCUCCUCUCACUGUUUCAUAGGUUAACUUUGCGCCUUUAUUCCUUCCCCACCGAUUCACCCGGCAAGAAAACCUGGCCUUCGCUCCAGAAACCAGCUUGGCUCCUGGCACGCGGUGCUGCAGCUGACCCACAAGACAUUGCUGCCUCUUGGGAGUGCUCAGCCUGCCGCUGGUUUUUUCAUAAGGUUGGCUGCCAAGGAGAUUUCAGAGGCCGCCCGUGACACUUCACAUGCAGGAAGCUCCUCUGUUCCCUAGAUUGGGGAUGGCUCUUCCCACGUUCUCUUCUCUCCCUGCGGUUGCACAAUCCCUAGUCAGGCGGUUACACAAGCAGGCCCCCUUGCCAACUGUCACCAAGGCCACUUGAAAAUCAAGACUUACGCAAACCAGCAAUGGCUUGCCAGAGGCGCAACACCCUCGUGUACUUAUUACCAUCUGCUCUGGAGCUGCGUUCAAGCCCUCUCCCUCCUAGCAGCCCUGAAUUUUUCUGAAGAAGGGAAAAUAACAACAAUGUGGAUUUUCUGUGAAUUUAAAACCAGUGAAGAUGCUGGGGAGGCAGCAUAAAUAGGCUGGAAACUCUGUUGUCACUGAAGGUCGUCUGUCCUCUUUUGUUCCUGGUUUCUUCCUAAUUUCAGUAUCACAUACUUACUCCCAUUUCCAUGUGCCAGUACUUCCACCAGCUGGCAGUAUGACCUGGAGUGAGUCAUUCAGCCUCCCUGGGCCCCUGCAUCCUCAUCUGCAAAAUGAGGGGAGGGUGGGAGACAAGCACCAGGAUCCCUCCAGCUCCCAGAUGACAAGUCCAUUCUCCUGAGGUUUGGCCUGGAGCUCCCUUUCCUCCCCUCUGUCCAGCAGAUCCUGGCACAGUCCUAGGCACAAAGCUGGCACCCAAAACAUGGCGUGUGGACACGUGGAAGGUAUUUCCUGACAGCUAGAGGGUCACACAGUUUGUUUGAGCUAAAGAACUGGCAGGAAAUUUUCACAGCUCACAGAACCACAUUUUCAAAGACAUGUUGUAAGGAGAGGAUGAAAGACAAUGGCAUGGAUGCUGCUGUUCCCUCCCCAGAUGGGAACGCUUCUUCCGUUUUUCAGCUUGGAACUUGCUGGCUUCUGCAGUUUUGGAUAUUCCAAAUGUCUGUAGUCACAGGCUCUCUCCUCCCGUCCGAAAAGGUUUGAAAACCCUACCACAGGACUGGACACAAAGACCCACCACGGCACCCACGGGCAGUGCGCCCUGCCUCUUCUGCACUCCAGGUGCAUAAUAAUUUUUAACUGUAAUUUUGCAACUGGAGUUAGUAGUCAAGAGUCAAAAGACUUUCAAUGAAUUCAAUAAGGAAAACAAAGUAAAUUCUAGAAAAAGGGAGGAAUGAAGAGCAAGAAAAACCCAAAAUGGCCAUUAUGAGAAAAAGGUUAUUUUUUAAAAAAGGAUUAACAGAAGGAGAUAAGGUUGUGGCUUUGGGGGAACAGUUGGUAGACAAAAAAAAAAGCUUGGCUAACAAAUAAUUUAAAUGAAAAUGGCU